rnacentral:rRNA from 2 species
GGGUUGUGAGGUUAAGCGACCAAGCGUACACGGUGGAUGCCCUGGCAGUCAGAGGCGAUGAAGGACGUGCUAAUCUGCGAAAAGCGCCGGUAAGGUGAUAUGAACCGUUAUAACCGGCGAUGUCCGAAUGGGGAAACCCAGUGUGACUCGUCACACUAUCAUUAACUGAAUCCAUAGGUUAAUGAGGCGAACCGGGGGAACUGAAACAUCUAAGUACCCCGAGGAAAAGAAAUCAACCGAGAUUCCCCCAGUAGCGGCGAGCGAACGGGGAGGAGCCCAGAGCCUGAAUCAGCAUGUGUGUUAGUGGAAGCGUCUGGAAAGGCGCGCGAUACAGGGUGAGAGCCCCGUACACAAAAGCGCAUGUGCUGUGAGCUCGAUGAGUAGGGCGGGACACGUGGUAUCCUGUCUGAAUAUGGGGGGACCAUCCUCCAAGGCUAAAUACUCCUGACUGACCGAUAGUGAACCAGUACCGUGAGGGAAAGGCGAAAAGAACCCCGGCGAGGGGAGUGAAACAGAACCUGAAACCGUGUACGUACAAGCAGUGGGAGCCCCACCACCAAAGCGUUUCGCUUUGCGUGGUGCGCAAAAUGCGUAACGACAGCACGAUUGCGGUUAACGGAGCGUAAGCGACGUUCAACACAAAAAUCAGGCAGUGGAGCGUUUUGGGGUGGGGUGACUGCGUACCUUUUGUAUAAUGGGUCAGCGACUUAUAUUCUGUAGCAAGGUUAACCGCAUAGGGGAGCCGGAGGGAAACCGAGUCUUAACCGGGCGUUAAGUUGCAGGGUAUAGACCCGAAACCCGGUGAUCUAGCCAUGGGCAGGUUGAAGGUUGGGUAACACUAACUGGAGGACCGAACCGACUAAUGUUGAAAAAUUAGCGGAUGACCUGUGGCUGGGGGUGAAAGGCCAAUCAAACCGGGAGAUAGCUGGUUCUCCCCGAAAGCUAUUUAGGUAGCGCCUCGUGAAUUCAUCUCCGGGGGUAGAGCACUGUUUCGGCCAGGGGGCCAUCCCGGCUUACCAAUCCGAUGCAAACUGCGAAUACCGGAGAAUGUUAUCACGGGAGACACACGGCGGGUGCUAACGUCCGUCGUGAAGAGGGAAACAACCCAGACCGCCAGCUAAGGUCCCAAAGUCAUGGUUAAGUGGGAAACGAUGUGGGAAGGCCCAGACAGCCAGGAUGUUGGCUUAGAAGCAGCCAUCAUUUAAAGAAAGCGUAAUAGCUCACUGGUCGAGUCGGCCUGCGCGGAAGAUGUAACGGGGCUAAACCAUGCACCGAAGCUGCGGCAGCGAACGUAUCACCCAAGACAACUUUGCACAGUUGACGACUGACGGAGCGAAGCGACGUCAAAGCGUUUUACAACGUCGAGUUGGCUUAGGGAUACGUUCGUUGGGUAGGGGAGCGUUCUGUAAGCCGUUGAAGGUGUGUCGUGAGGCAUGCUGGAGGUAUCAGAAGUGCGAAUGCUGACAUAAGUAACGAUAAAGCGGGUGAAAAGCCCGCUCGCCGGAAGACCAAGGGUUCCUGUCCAACGUUAAUCGGGGCAGGGUGAGUCGACCCCUAAGGCGAGGCCGAAAGGCGUAGUCGAUGGGAAACAGGUUAAUAUUCCUGUACUUGGUGUUACUGCGAAGGGGGGACGGAGAAGGCUAUGUUGGCCGGGCGACGGUUGUCCCGGUUUAAGCGUGUAGGCUGACUUUCCAGGCAAAUCCGGAGAGUCAAGGCUGAGGCGUGACGACGAGGCACCACGGUGCUGAAGCAACAAAUGCCCUGCUUCCAGGAAAAGCCUCUAAGCCUCAGGUAACAUCAAAUCGUACCCCAAACCGACACAGGUGGUCAGGUAGAGAAUACCAAGGCGCUUGAGAGAACUCGGGUGAAGGAACUAGGCAAAAUGGUGCCGUAACUUCGGGAGAAGGCACGCUGACACGUAGGUGAAGUGGUUUACCCAUGGAGCUGAAGUCAGUCGAAGAUACCAGCUGGCUGCAACUGUUUAUUAAAAACACAGCACUGUGCAAACACGAAAGUGGACGUAUACGGUGUGACGCCUGCCCGGUGCCGGAAGGUUAAUUGAUGGGGUCAGCGCAAGCGAAGCUCCUGAUCGAAGCCCCGGUAAACGGCGGCCGUAACUAUAACGGUCCUAAGGUAGCGAAAUUCCUUGUCGGGUAAGUUCCGACCUGCACGAAUGGCGUAAUGAUGGCCAGGCUGUCUCCACCCGGGACUCAGUGAAAUUGAACUCGCUGUGAAGAUGCAGUGUACCCGCGGCAAGACGGAAAGACCCCGUGAACCUUUACUAUAGCUUGACACUGAACACUGGUCCUUGAUGUGCAGGAUAGGUGGGAGGCUUUGAAGUGUGGACGCCAGUCUGCAUGGAGCCAUCCUUGAAAUACCACCCUUUAAUGGCUGGUGUUCUAACGUGGGCCCGUGAACCGGGUUGCGGACAGUGUCUGGUGGGUAGUUUGACUGGGGCGGUCUCCUCCUAAAGAGUAACGGAGGAGCACGAAGGUUGGCUAAUCCUGGUCGGACAUCAGGAGGUUAGUGCAAUGGCAUAAGCCAGCUUGACUGCGAGCGUGACGGCGCGAGCAGGUGCGAAAGCAGGUCAUAGUGAUCCGGUGGUUCUGAAUGGAAGGGCCAUCGCUCAACGGAUAAAAGGUACUCCGGGGAUAACAGGCUGAUACCGCCCAAGAGUUCAUAUCGACGGCGGUGUUUGGCACCUCGAUGUCGGCUCAUCACAUCCUGGGGCUGAAGUAGGUCCCAAGGGUAUGGCUGUUCGCCAUUUAAAGUGGUACGCGAGCUGGGUUUAGAACGUCGUGAGACAGUUCGGUCCCUAUCUGCCGUGGGCGCUGGAAGAUUGAGGGGGGCUGCUCCUAGUACGAGAGGACCGGAGUGGACGCAUCACUGGUGUUCGGGUUGUCAUGCCAAUGGCACUGCCCGGUAGCUACAUGCGGAAGAGAUAAGUGCUGAAAGCAUCUAAGCACGAAACUUGCCCCGAGAUGAAUCUUCCCUGAGCCUUUAAGGCUCCUGAAGGAACGUUGAAGACGACGACGUUGAUAGGCCGGGUGUGUAAGCGCAGCGAUGCGUUGAGCUAACCGGUACUAAUGAACCGUGAGGCUUAACCUUACAACGCCGAAG